rnacentral:rRNA from 1 species
AAAGGGUCCGUAGGCGGUUUGGUAAGUCAGUGGUGAAAGCCCAUCGCUUAACGAUGGAACGGCCAUUGAUACUGCCAGACUUGAAUUACUAGGAAGUAACUAGAAUAUGUAGUGUAGCGGUGAAAUGCAUAGAUAUUAUCCAGAACACCAAUUGCGUAGGCAAGUUACUAAGUCUCAACUGACGCUGAGGCACGAAAGUGUGGGUAUCAAACAGGAUUAGAUACCCCAGU